UCACUCUUUCCUCGUGUACCUCAAGCCACUCGCCAGAUGAGCUGACUGGCCACCAGGCUGACUCCUGUGGGUGGAUCUGAAUGUUCAGAAAGAGAGGGAGCAUGUAUACGUGUUGUUUCCUCAGCAGGGCUCAGAAUGAAAUAGUACGUAGCUGAGAGGCUGUCUCUGGACUCGGGACAUGAUGAGAAGCCACAGACGGGCACAUGUGUUGGUGUCUGUAUUUUUGUCUGACCCGUGGCUACAGUUGGAGCACUGGAACUUGUGAUUCUUCUCUGUGCAUCUAGAUGUGAGGAAAACUUUUGCCCUUCCCCACACAGAUAUUACUGGCUGGAGUUCCAACAGCCAUAGUGGACCUAGAAUAGAAGCCAUGCGUGGCAGAGGAGAAAAACAGAAGGAGCUCAGAUCCUCAUGAAGCCUUCACAGCAGCUGAUAAUGAUCUACCUUUGGACUUAUUUUAUGUGAAACAAUACAAACUUGUGUGUUUAAGUCAUUGCAGUUUCUAUUUCUUGAAGAUGAACAAAAUUCUUAACUGACAGAAGAUAAUAAAUCAGUGACUUAACAGAUGAUGCCAGGAAAACUUAAUAUCCACUUGCAAAAGAAUGAACUGGACCCUAUAUAAAAGUUAACUCAAAAUGAGUCAAAUGAAACACAAGAGCUAAAACUAUAAAAGUCUUAAAAGAAAACACAAAUGAAAACUUCAUGACAUUGGAUUUGGCAAUAACUACUGGGCUAUGGCAGGUAUAGACAACAAAAGAAAAAGUAAACAAAUUGGACAUCACCAAAAUUAAACUUUUGUGGAUCAAAGGGAACUGUCAACAGAGGAAAAAGGCAACCUGAAGAAUGGGAGAAAACACCUUCAAAUCACCUAUAUGCUAAGAAUUAACAUUAAGAAUAUACAGAACUCCUAAAAGUCAAUAGCAAACACCAAGCAACUCAAUUAAAAAAUGGGCAAAGGACCUGAACAGGCAUUUCUCCAAUGAAGAUACAGAAAUGGCCAAUAAGCACACAGAAGGAUGCUCAACAUUGUUAAUCGCAGGGGAAAUACAAAUCAUAAUCACAACAAGAUACCACUUUACACACAGUAGGAUGGCUGCUUUUGGAAAAACAAACAAGUGUUGAUGUGGAUAUGGAGAACCUGGAACUUUUGUGCAUUACUGGUGGGAAUGUAGCAAUGGAGCAGCCACUAAGGAAAAUAAUAUGGUGCCAGGAAAACUGGAUAUCCACACGCAAAAGAAACAUUAACAAAACAAAAAAAGUAAAUAUACCAUUUGGUUCCAUAAUUCCACUUCUGGCUAUCUAUACAAAAGAACUGAAAGGACUGGCAGAGGUAUUUGUACAAGCCAUGUUUGCAAUAGCAUUAUUCACAAUAGCCAAAAGAUAUAAACAACCCAAAUUCAAUCAAUGGAUGAAAGGAUAAAUAAAAUGUGGCAUGUCCGUACAAUGGAAUAUCAUUUAGUCUUACAAAACAAUGACAUUUGAACACAUGCAACAACAUGGAAGAAUAUUGAAGGCCUCAUGCUAAGUGAAAUUAGCCAAAUGCUGUAGAAGUUCACUUGUAUGCAGUAUCUAGAGUAGCAAAUUUGUUGAGACAGAGGAGAGUGGUUGGGUACCAGGGAGUCGGGGGGAAGGGAGUAAUGGGGAGGUAUUGUUUAAAUGGCUAUAGAGUUUCAGUUGAGGAGGAUAAAAAAAUGAGAUGAAUAGUGGUGAUGUUUGCACAACAGUGUAAAAGUACUUAAAGCCACAAACUGUAUACUUAAAAAUGGUUAAAAUGGUAAAUGUUAUAUUGUAGAUAUUUUGCCACAGUAAAAAAUAUUAAGUUUAAAUAAAUCAAUAAACCCUGAGUCCAAAUCCCAUAUUGACGGAUGAAC